rnacentral:pre_miRNA from 1 species
UAGUCCCUUCCUUGAAGGAUCGGCAAGUCACACGCAGAGCCUCAAGCAAGGGACUUCC